UACGAAGGGUGCAAACGUUGCUCGGAAUCACUGGGCGUAAAGGGUGCGUAGGCGGGUCUUUAAGUCCGGGGUGAAAUCCUGGAGCUCAACUCCAGAACUGCCUUUGAUACUGAAGAUCUUGAGUUCGGGAGAGGUGAGUGGAACUGCGAGUGUAGAGGUGAAAUUCGUAGAUAUUCGGAAGAACACCAGUGGCGAAGGCGACUUACUGGACACAUAUUGACGCUGAGGUGCGAAAGCGUGGGGAGCAAACAGG
rnacentral:rRNA from 1 species